rnacentral:rRNA from 1 species
AGAGUUUGAUCAUGGCUCAGGACGAACGCUGGCGGCGCGCCUAAUACAUGCAAGUCGAGCGAGAACCAGGGCUUCGGCCCUGGGGAGAGCGGCGAACGGGUGCGUAUCACGUGAGCAACCUGCCUCGGAGACCGGAAUAACUCGAGGAAACUCGGGCUAAUGCCGGAUGCCCUCGGUGGACCGCAUGGUCCGGCGAGGAAAUGGAUUCCGCUCCGAGAUGGGCUCGCGGCCUAUCAGCUUGUUGGUGGGGUAACGGCCUACCAAGGCAACGACGGGUAGCUGGUCUGAGAGGACGAUCAGCCACACUGGGACUGAGACACGGCCCAGACUCCUACGGGAGGCAGCAGUAGGGAAUCUUGCGCAAUGGGCGAAAGCCUGACGCAGCGACGCCGCGUGCGGGAUGAAGGCCUUCGGGUCGUAAACCGCUUUCAGGAGGGACGAAGGUUCAGGCGCGAAUAGCGUCCUGGACUGACGGUACCUCCAGAAGAAGCCCCGGCUAACUACGUGCCAGCAGCCGCGGUAAUAC